AGUGAACGCUGGCGGUAGGCCUAACACAUGCAAGUCGAACAGCAGCACAGUAAGAGCUUGCUCUUACGGGUGGCGAGUGGCGGACGGGUGCGGAAUACAUCGGAAUCUACUUUUUCGUGGGGGAUAACGUAGGGAAACUUACGCUAAUACCGCAUACGACCUACGGGUGAAAGCAGGGGAUCUUCGGACUUUGCGCGAUUGAAUGAGCCGAUGUCGGAUUAGCUAGUUGGCGGGGUAAAGGCCCACCAAGGCGACGAUCCGUAGCUGGUCUGAGAGGAUGAUCAGCCACACUGGAACUGAGACACGGUCCAGACUCCUACGGGAGGCAGCAGUGGGGAAUAUUGGACAAUGGGCGCAAGCCUGAUCCAGCCAUACCGCGUGGGUGAAGAAGGCCUUCGGGUUGUAAAGCCCUUUUGUUGGGAAAGAAAAGCAGCAGGUUAAUACCCCGCUGUUCUGACGGUACCCAAAGAAUAAGCACCGGCUAACUUCGUG
rnacentral:rRNA from 1 species